CCCUGGCCGGCCUACUUACAGCAUUGGCCGGCCCGCUUGUCAUUCCCACCGUGGCUCCCAUUCAUGCAGUUUGGUUGCGUCUUGGUGUAUUUGAGUGUUUGCAAUAAAAAGGGCUUUUAAUUUUUGGAGGUGCAGGUCCAGCUGCAAUUAGUUCACUGAAAAGUCUACCGCCUUGCAAGCAGCCAACCGCGGCUAGCUUUAGCUCUUCAUUUCUCCCUUGCAAUUGCAAGCCACUAAUUCAGAGGAGCAACUAUGCCCAAAAGAAAGGCAGCCGUUGAAGGGCAGGUAAAGGAAGAGCCAAAGAGGCGGUCACCUAGAUUAUCUGCUGUAAGUAUUGCCUGUUUUCUCUGGUGAUAACAGCCUGUUUUGUGAGGUGCCAUUUUAAAGAAACCGAACAAAUGAGACGAUCACGUUUAGUGUUGGGCUUACUUGGGAAAUUAUGAGAAAACACCACCACUUGGGAAAUCUAUCAUUUCACUUGUGUUUGAAGUAUAUACAUUCCAGUUGGUGGAACAGUUGGAUUCCCUUAUUUGUGAGUCAUCCUGUUGCAGUGACAGAUUUGUUUCUACAUUUCUCUGACCUCUGGUUUUUUUUGUGUGUGUGUAUAUAUGUAUAUGUGUGUAUAUGUGUGCCUGUGCAGAAGCCUGUUCCUCCUAAAUCUGAGCCCAAAACCAAAAAGGCAGCAGCCCCAAAGAAAGUGAACGUAGCAAAUGAUAAAAAGGAAAUCAAAGGCAAGAAAGGGGCUGCCAAAGUCAAAGUGGAAACCAAGCAGGAGGAAGUGAAAGAAGAAAACCACUCUGAAAAUGGAGAGACCCAAACUAAUGAGGUGCCAGCUGUGGAAGAACCCGAGGAGAAAGUAACCAAGCCUGAGUAAUACGUAACACUGCCCUAUAUCUCCAUCAGUUUGGUAUCUGUAACUCCAUCCUGUAUUGUCGACAGAGAGGAAUAUUUUUAUCAACUAUUUUCUAAAUGCAGGUUUUUUUUUUUUAGCAUGAAGUUAAUUUUGGAACGUCUCCAUCUUGGUCGCUUGGGUAUGAUGUCACCAACAACAUAUCACUGUCUCUGCAUUUUGUGAUUGUAAUAGUUUGAUCUAUGGGAAGAAUAAGUGGUGGUAGCUUCUGACUUUUGUCACUGUGUACCCUUCCUUGUGUAAGCUAUCCUUUCCGUCCUUUGAAUUUUUCUUUGGCCCUGGUACAUGUUUAAUUCAGUGAAGUGGGGAGGCCCCAAGUAGAAAGUUCUUGCAUCGGCUAGUCCGGGGUGUCUGUGGGUUGAUUUUAUAAAGAAGGUGAGCUAUUUUCAUGAAAUUCUAAGAGUUGGAAAUAUCUUUCCCAAAUAUAACUUUAAUAUUAGUUUUUGAAAGAAAGUAAAAUGUAAUCAUGUUUUUAAAUGAAAUACAAAUGUUUAUUUCAGAAGGGCAGGUUGAUUGUAUGUGUAGCCACUAUUAGAAAUUUUGCUGGAUUUAUCUUAAUAAAAUAAAAAGACUCCUCA
rnacentral:lncRNA from 1 species